GGUCUGAUUCUGGCUCAGAUUGAACGCUGGCGGAUGCUUUACACAUGCAAGUCGAACGGCAGCACGGACUUCGGUCUGGUGGCGAGUGGCGAACGGGUGAGUAAUGUAUCGGAACGUGCCUAGUAGCGGGGAUAACUACGCGAAAGCGUAGCUAAUACCGCAUACGCCCUUCGGGGAAAGCGGGGGACCUUCGCCUCGCACUAUUAGAGCGGCCGAUAUCGGAUUAGCUAGUUGGUGGGGUAACGGCUCACCAAGGCGACAUCCGUAGCUGGUUUGAGAGGACGACCAGCCACACUGGGACUGAGACACGCACCCAGACUCCUACGGGAGGCAGCAGUGGGGAAUUUUGGACAAUGGGGGAAACCCUGAUCCAGCCAUCUCAUGUGUGCGAUGAAGGCCUUCGGGUUGUAAAGCACUUUUGGCAGGAAGAAAAAGGCACGAUACCCCGUGCAACUGACGGUACCUGCAGAAUAAGCACCGGCUAACUACGUGCCAGCAGCCGCGGUAAUACGUAGGGUGCAAGCGUGUUAAUCGGAAUUACUGGGCGUAAAGCGUGCGCAGGCGGUUCGAAAGAAAGAUGUGAAAUCCCAGAGCUUAACUUUGGAACUGCAUUUUUAACUACCGAGCUAGAGUGUGUCAGAGGGAGGUGGAAUUCCGCGUGUAGCAGUGAAAUGCGUAGAUAUGCGGAGGAACACCGAUGGCGAAGGCAGCCUCUGGGAUAACACUGACGCUCAUGCACGAAAGCGUGGGGAGCAAACAGGAUUAGAUACCCCUGGUAGUCCACGCCCUAAACGAUGUCAACUAGCUGUUGGGGCUCGCCUUGGUAGCGCAGCUAACGCGUGAAGUUGACCGCCUGGGAGUACGGUCGCAAGAUUAAAACUCAAAGGAAUUGAUUUGGGACCCGCACAAGCGGUGGAUGAUGUGGAUUACCUGAUGCAACGCGAAAACCUACCUACCCUUGACAUGUCUGGAAUCCCGAAGAGAUUUGGGAGUGCUCGCAAGAGAACCGGAACACAGGUGCUGCACGGCUGUCGUCAGCUCGUGUCGUGAGAUGUUGGGUCAAGUCUCGGCAACGAGCGCAACCCUUGUCAUUAGUUGCUACGAAAGGGCACUCUAAUGAGACUGCCGGUGACAAACCGGAGGAAGGUGGGGAUGACGUCAACUCGCGGCCCUGCGGGUAGGGACACGUCAUACAAUGGUCGGGACAGAGGGUCGCCAACCCGCGAGGGGAGCCAAUCCCAGAAACCCGAUCGUAGUCCGGAUCGCAGUCUGCAACUCGACUGCGUGAAGUCGGAAUCGCUAGUAACUGCGGAUCAGCAUGUCGCGGUGAAUACGUUCCCGGGUCUUGUACACACCGCCCGUCACACCAUGGGAGUGGGUUUUACCAGAAGUAGUUAGCCUAACCGUAAGGAGGGCGAUUACCACGGUAGGAUCCAUGACUGGGGUGAAGUCGUAACAAGGUAG
rnacentral:rRNA from 1 species